AUUUUUAUUUCUUUACAUAACCUGCACCAGAGAGCUCAGGUUUUUCAUCAAGGAUCCCUCUGUACUUUGCUGUCCCUCCAUCCUGACUAGUUUCUUCGAUUCUGCCUGCUGAAAACACCUUCACAGCAUGAUGCUGCCACCACCAUGCUUCACCAUAGGGUUGGUAUUGGCCAGGUGAUGAGCGGUGCCUGGUUUCCUCCAGACGUGACGCUUGGCAUUGUGGCCAAAGAGUUCAAUCUUGGUUUCAUCAGACCAGAGAAUCUUGUUUCUUAUGGUCUGAGAGUCCUUUAGGUGCCUUUUGGCAAACUCCCUGCGGGGCUGAGAGACUGAAGUGCUGCUGGCUGUUUAAUAAAGAGGAACUCUGGAAGUCAUUUAUACCAAUUGUGCCGCUGUGGUGUAGACGACAGUCUGGAUCUAUGAUAGAUGUCUUGAACCUUCUCACAUUGUCAAACAAAUAUCUUGUAGAAAAAAGAUAAAAAAAACAGGACCCGGUUUUCAUUUUGCACUGAACUGUCACUUUAAGAGGCAACUUUGAACACGUGAAGUCAACGCCAUUGGAGGAAGGAGCAGCCAUUCACCUCUGUGAUUAUGGUCAUAUAAGAUCUCAAUUUAUCAAAAACAGACAUUCAUUAACACCAGCUACUCUUCAGCAGUAUCUGUCUGAUCAUAAGGUGCAGUGGAAUGAAAGGGUCAGCUGAUAUGAGGAUUGUCCUAUUGGGCAAUACAGGAGCUGGAAGGAGCAGCACAGCCAAUAGCAUUCUGGGAGAGAAGGUGUUCAAGACCUCUUGCUCUGCCAACUCCCAAACAGUAGGAUGUGAGGCUAAAACAAAAACGGUUGGUGGGAGGAGCAUCACUGUGAUUGACACACCAGGCUUUCUUGAUAAUAAGAACCCGGCUGACACCCUGAACCCCAAAAUAGUGGAGUGCAUCAGAGAAUGUUCCGCCAGACCUCACACCUUUGUUAUGGUGUUGAAAACUUCCAAGCAAACAGCAGAGGAGUUACGAGUGAUGAAGAGGUUUGAGGACUACUUUGGAGAGGAGGCUUUGAAGUAUGCUGUUGUCCUUUUUACCCACGGAGACCAGCUCGACGACCACACGACCAUCGGCAGUUUGUGAAUAAA